rnacentral:rRNA from 1 species
CAGUAGUCACGAGUUUGAUCAUGGCUCAGAUUGAACGCUGGCGGCAGGCCUAACACAUGCAAGUCGUACGAGAGUUUUUAACNCUAGUGGCGACGGGUGAGUAACACGUGAGAAUUUGCCUUUAGGAGGGGGACAACAAUUGGAAACGAAUGCUAAUACCCCAUAUGCUUUCGAGUGAAAUGGAUUUUAUCCGCCUAGAGAGAAGCUCGCGGCUGAUUAGCUUGUUGGUAAGGUAAGAGCUUACCAAGGCGACGAUCAGUAUCUGGUUUGAGAGGACGAUCAGACACACUGGAACUGAGACACGGUCCAGACUCCUACGGGAGGCAGCAGUGGGGAAUUUUCCGCAAUGGGCGAAAGCCUGACGGAGCAAUACCGCGUGAGGGAAGAAUGCCUAUGGGUUGUAAACCUCUUUUUCAGGGAGGAAUAAAAUGACGUGUACCUGAAGAAUAAGCAUCGGCUAACUCCGUG